rnacentral:rRNA from 1 species
AGGACGAACGCUGGCGGCGUGCUUAACACAUGCAAGUCGAACGAGGCACUUGUGCCUAGUGGCGAACGGGUGAGUAACACGUGGGCAACCUGCCCCUGGCUCUGGGAUAGCCUCCGGAAACGGGGAUUAAUACCGGACAUGACCUGCUCCUGCAUGGGGGCGGGUGGAAAGUUUUUCGGCCAGGGAGGGGCUCGCGGCCUAUCAGCUUGUUGGAGGGGUAACGGCCCACCAAGGCGACGACGGGUAG